AAAGCGUGCGCAGGCGGUUAUAUAAGACAGAUGUGAAAUCCCCGGGCUCAACCUGGGACCUGCAUUUGUGACUGUAUAGCUAGAGUACGGUAGAGGGGGAUGGAAUUCCGCGUGUAGCAGUGAAAUGCGUAGAUAUGCGGAGGAACACCGAUGGCGAAGGCAAUCCCCUGGACCUGUACUGACGCUCAUGCACGAAAGCGUGGGGAGCAAACAGGAUUAGAUACCCCGGU
rnacentral:rRNA from 1 species